rnacentral:rRNA from 1 species
UACGGAGGGUGCAAGCGUUAUCCGGAUUUACUGGGUUUAAGGGGUGUGUAGGCGGGCUUUUAAGUCAGUGGUGAAAUCUCCGGGCUCAACCCGGAAACUGCCAUUGAUACUAUUAGUCUUGAAUUUUGUUGAGGUAGGCGGAAUAAGUCAUGUAGCGGUGAAAUGCAUAGAUAUGACUUAGAACACCAAUUGCGAAGGCAGCUUGCUAAACAAAUAUUGACGCUGAGGCACGAAAGCGUGGGGAUCAAACAGG